rnacentral:piRNA from 1 species
UAAGCCUUUUAUUUUUGAGGAAUCUUGGGA